rnacentral:lncRNA from 1 species
AACAUGGUCUGUUUAUUGUGUAAUAAUCGAAAUGGCACUAAAUUGCAGUGAUUGCUGAACACUUAGGAAUUGUAUUAACCUCUUAAGCGCUAAGCGGUUUUCUGUCGUCUCCCCCUCAGACGUGCAGCCCAAAUGUAUUUCUGUCGCUAUGCUUCCCUCAGUCAGUGUCACGGGGGAAUGAAAUGUCCUCGAGCCCAAGUCCAGCCCUAGUAGCCGCCUGGACCCCGCUCACAUGGCGCUGCCAGGAGAGGACGGUCCUGCCUAUGCCUGUGGCAGAGAUCAGAAGCUGUCCCUGCUGGGGAGCCCAAGGGGCUGGAUUGGCCAGUCUUGGCCCACAAGGCCCUACUUCUGUCCCCUGGCUUCGGCCGCGUUGUGUGUUUCAUGACAGCUGCUUUAUGGCUUGGUUUGAGACUAGAUUCUGCAGAGAGCCAAGGGGGUCGUUGGCCUUUCUGCCAGACCUGCCGCCUUUGAGAAGCUGCUGCUUAAGGCACACGUCCUGGCUACCCUGCCGGGGGCCAGGUUGCGGUGGCCUUGGCGUCCCCUCCUGCCGCCAGCCCUGUCCUCGCUGCUCCUGCGCGCAGGCCCGGGAAGGAAGAGUUAACCAGAAAUGGAGCGGCGCCGCUCCGGGGCAGCAGCCUCGCUGCAGAACAGAGCAGCGUUCGUGCAAAGAGAAAGCUUGGGAGGCCGCUUUUCAGAUGGUCAGAUGGCAGAAAUCCUCUCUCCUCUUGGCACUCGCAGCUCUGUAUCUGCUCUUCUCUUCCGGAAACACUACGUUCUCCUUGAAGGCAGGGACUGCACUGCAUCCAGCCCCUCGUCGCCAUCCUCCGAAAGCCUAGAACGUGGUAAGUGCUGCAUAAAUAGGUGCUGGGAGUGAACGAGUGGAAGGCGAUGGAGGAAGAGUGUGAGUUAUUAGAAAAUGUCUGCCCCAGGUCCUGGCACAGGGCUCCUGAAACCCUUGUAAUUUCCUGGUUAAAAGGCGUGUCCUCUGUUCUAAUGAGGCGAGUUUGGGUGGGCUCCUGGAUGGGGGCUGGUCCCUGGAAAGACCAAGCGAUGAUGAGCAGCUUGGAAUUUUCAGCCCCACCCGCCAUUCUCUUGAGAAAGAAGGGCUGAAAAUGGAAUUGACGAUGGAUCAUGCCUACCUGUUGAAGCCUCCACAAAAAUCCCAAAAAUACAGGUUCAGGGAACUUCCAGGUUGGUGGACACAUCCACAUACUGGGAGGAUGACACACCCCAAUGCCACAGGGACAGAAGCUCCUGUGCUCAGGACCCUCCCAGACCUUGCCCUAUGUAUCUCUUCAUCUGGCUGCUCAUCUGUAUCCUUUAUCAUGUCCUUCUGUAAACUGGUAAAUGUAAUCACUGUUUUCCUGAGUUCUCUGAGCCACUCU